rnacentral:rRNA from 1 species
GCCGCGGGAAUUCGUUCGCCUGUUAUCAAAAACAUGUCUUUUUGAAAUUAAUUUAAGGUCUAAUCUGCCCACUGAUAUUAUAUUAAAGGGCUGCAGUAUUUUGACUGUACAAAGGUAGCAUAAUCAUUAGUCUCUUAAUUGGUGACUUGUAUGAAAGAUUGGAUGAAAUAUAAGCUGUCUCUUUAUUAAUAAUAGAAUUUAAUUUUUUUAUUAAAAAGUAAAAAUAAAUUUAAAAGACGAGAAGACCCUAUAGAGUUUUAUAAAAUAAUUAUUUAAUAUUAUAUAUUAAUUUUAUAUUGAUAAUAAUUAUUUUAUUUUGUUGGGGUGAUAAAAAAAUAUAAUUAACUUUUUUUAUAUAUUAACAUAAAUAAGUGAUUAAUUGAUCCAAAAUUUUUGAUUAUAAGAAUAAAUUACCUUAGGGAUAACAGCGUAAUUUUUUUUUUAGUACAAAUAAGAAAAAGAGUUGCGACCUCGAUGUGGAUAAGAUAAAAUUAAAUCAAAAGUGAAAUUGACGCGCAAAUC